UUUUUUGUCGGAGCUUGCUAUGAUAAAAAUUAGUGGCAGACGGGUGAGUAAUGCAUAGGAAUCUACCUAAGUUAGUAUGGGAUAGCCACUAGAAAUGGUGGGUAAUACUCCGUUAUAAUCCCUGCGGGGGAAAGAUUUAUCGCUAUUAGAUGAGCCUAUGUUAGAUUAGCUAGUUGGUAGGGUAAAGGCCUACCAAGGCGGUGAUCUAUAGCUGGUCUGAGAGGAUGAUCAGCCACACUGGAACUGAGAUACGGUCCAGACUCCUACGGGAGGCAGCAGUGGGGAAUAUUGGACAAUGGGCGCAAGCCUGAUCCAGCUAUGCCGCGUGAGUGAGGAAGGCCUUAGGGUUGUAAAACUCUUUCAGUGGGGAAGAUAAUGACGGUACCCACAA
rnacentral:rRNA from 1 species